AUCCAGCCGACGAGUCCCAAGCAGGACGAAAUGCACAUUCUGCAU
rfam:Trichobilharzia regenti genome assembly, scaffold: TRE_scaffold0118562